rnacentral:rRNA from 1 species
UGCGUAGGCGGCCUAUUAAGUCAGUGGUGAAAGGUAUCAGCUUAACUGAUGACGUGCCAUUGAAACUGAUAGGCUUGAGUACAGACGAGGUAGGCGGAAUUUAUGGUGUAGCGGUGAAAUGCAUAGAUACCAUAAAGAACACCAAUAGCGGAGGCAGCUUACUAGACUGAGACUGACGCUGAGGCACGAAAGCGUGGGGAGCGAACAGGAUUAGAUACCCUGGUAGUCC